UACAGAGGGUGCAAGCGUUGUUCGGAAUUACUGGGCGUAAAGCGCGUGUAGGCGGCAAGCCAAGUCGGGUGUGAAAGCCCUGGGCUCAACCCAGGAAGUGCAUUCGAUACUGGCAAGCUAGAGUCCCGGAGAGGAUGGUGGAACUCUCGGUGUAGAGGUGAAAUUCGUAGAUAUCGAGAAGAACACCGGUGGCGAAGGCGGCCAUCUGGACGGUGACUGACGCUGAGACGCGAAAGCGUGGGGAGCAAACAGG
rnacentral:rRNA from 1 species